rnacentral:lncRNA from 1 species
CCGGAUGGAACUGACGGCUGAUGGGUCUGGGCCUGUUGGCACGCAUCCCUAGCUUUCUAAGCAACUACUCGACACUCUUGACUCUGAUGGCCUAUCUUUCCACACCUAAAGCACACAUCACUAACUACUCUACACUCACCCUGAUGGUGUCUGCCACACUUCUAACAUAAAGGAUUGGUACGAACACUGCUAACACUGACCUAGGACUUUGAACCUGGUGACCUAUCCCUAUUGUUGUUUCUGAAUUUAGGUAUUGGGGCACUGGCUGAAGAGGGCAUUGAGGAUGAAGACUUCUGAUAAAACUGAGGAUGGUUACCACCCU